CGGUAUUGGUAGUCAGUCAUUGAGAGGCGCGCAUGCGCGGACUUGAGCUGUAUAAAGCGGCUUGGCGCCAGCUGAUCAGCUGAAACCCGGUCUAGGCACUGACUGCUUCUGUUCUUUGCUGGUGGAAGUUUCCUCAAUUUGGUAUAAUGUCAAGAAGAAGUGGCCGUCUACAAGCAAGGCAUGAAAGCGCUGAGACUGGGAACGACUGCCAACUUGCAGUUGCAACAAAGAAACGCAAAUCUGAGGAAACUAGCACAACAUUUGAAUGCCACCAGGACGCAAAACGACACAACUAUGAAAUCCAGGGCUGCUGGUCAGAGAUCACUACAGGAACAGUGACUCCUUGUAUUCUCAUAGAAACGCCACACAAAGAAAUGCCAGUCUCCACCGACCUAUCACAGUUCUCCCGAUACAGGUUCAAGAAUCUCUUCAUCAGCCGAUCCCCUCUGCCAGAGCUAAGCUGGGGCAAUUCAAAGGAUGUGUGGAUGAAGAUGAUAAGCAAAGAGUCGAGAUAUGUGCAUUCUAGCCGUCUUCUACAAAAUCAUCCCACGUUGAACCCAGACAUGAGGUCUAUUCUGCUGGACUGGCUCAUAGAGGUAUCCGAGGUCUACACGCUACACAGAGAAACCUUUUACCUAGCCCAGGAUUUCUUUGAUAGAUUUAUGCUGACCCAAACCUGUGUGAACAAAAGUAUGCUUCAGCUUAUAGGAGUUACGGCACUAUUUAUUGCUUCUAAAUUAGAGGAGAUCUACCCGCCAAAACUUUAUGAAUUUGCAUACGUCACCGAUGGUGCCUGCACUGAAGAUGAUAUUCUUCAAAUGGAGCUCAUAAUAUUAAAGGCUUUGAAGUGGGAAUUGUGUCCUGUAACUGCCAUUUCAUGGCUGAACCUGUACCUGCAAGUGUCUUCUCUUAAAGAUCAUCCAAAACUGCUGUUACCUCAGUAUUCUCAGGAGCAGUUUAUUCAUGUUGCUCAGCUUCUAGACAUGUGUAUUCUACACCAUACCUCGCUUGAAUUCCAGUACAGGAUCUUGGCGGCUGCUGCUUUAUACCACUGUACCUCCAUAGAAGUUGUUACCAAAGCUACUGGUCUCGACAUGGACAGCAUCAGUGAAUGUGUUCAUUGGAUGACUCCUUUUGCGAGUGUUGUGAAGAAAAGUUUCCCAUUAAAGCUGAAAGUGUUUAAGAGGAUAUCACCAGAAGAUAUGCACAAUAUCCAGACCCACACCAACUACAUUGAUAUGCUGGAUGAUGUAAAGAUUCCAGAUCGUGUUGUGGGUGAGUCUCCUGUGUUCAUUGGUGGUAUCCUCACCCCUCCCAAGAGUACGGAAAAGACUUUCUAAAUGAAAGCUAGUGGAGCUCCUCUCCCUCAUCUCAAGGUGCAGCUGUUAAUACUGGAAACGCAGGAAGCCUUAUGUUGUGACAAACUCUGCCUGGAUCUUACCUAUAUUUUAACUGUUUUAUAAACUUACUCUGCAUUAGAACUGAUUUUGUAGCUUCAAGGUUGCUAACUUAUUUAUUGCAAUGGGAUUUCCCCUUUACGUGGGCUGUUCACUGCCUGCCUUUCUGGGGAUGGCCAAACCUUUUUACUAAGGUUACUAUUACAGAAUUGCUGAUUACUGCAGUUUCUGGUUGGUUAAGAUGUUUCUUAAGGUGAAUGCAGCACCUUGUUCUAUAGAAUUGAUGUUGAUUUGACCAACCCCCUGCAUUCCUGGACAGCUGUGAUUUUGAUGCUGGGGUUUGUAGUUCACCAACCAGAGGAAUCCUGUUUUGGAUACUGCCAAUUUUCCCACUUCUUAAAAAGAGCACAUUUGGUUUUGUUGGAUCUAGAGCCUCUUAAAGAGGAGCUGUGCAAAUCUAUUAAACAAACAAUGUUAAUACAGCAUUAUUAUAUUUUUUUUAUAUAUAAAGAAAUUUAUUUUGAAUUGUGGACAUUUUGUAGAAAAAAUUGCAUAGUUAAUUGUAUGUUGCUUCCACCUCAAUGGUAGAAUUUUUGUGCCAGGCUUUGAGCUCAGAUAUGGGCUAGACUACCUGUGGGUUGUUCACCUUUAAAUUUAAAUGACCUCCACUUGAAAGCAAAUAAAUACAAAAACCAAUUGAAAUGUUGCUUAGAAUUAGCCAUUCUACAACAUACUAAAAAGGUAGCUUUAAAGCUGAACGACCCCUAUAAGCUAUGGCACAUGGUGCUGUUCUUAAGCAUUUGGGUGACGAAACUUGGAAUUGCUUCCUAUUCAGUGUCACUAGGAAAUGCUUGACUGCCCCUAAUAUGAGGAUAUACCAUGUAACUGUAUUUACUGAAGCGGAAUACUAUUUUCCAUGUCAAUGAAAUGUUACUAUUUAUUUGGAAGUUGCUUAAAACCCAACAGCUUCAAUCUCUUGUAUACAUGUAACGUACUAGAAGCAAAACAAAAACCCUAGCAGUUUAGAAUUCAUCCUUUAGCCUAGUGUAAGUAAGGAAAUGUAGUAACUUAUUAAAUGGGAGUAUUGAGGAUAGUAACUGCACUGAUCUCUCUUCUCCUUUCAGCCACAAUGGUGUAAAUGUCUAAAUUAUUUAUUACUGUGAAUAGUAUGAAAUUACAAGCAUGGGGUGGCAAAAAGAUAACGUUCAAUUGACAGACAUUGAAAUGAACUGCUAACUGGGCUUUUUCACUGUGAAUUUUAUGGCUUCGGAUGUCCUUCCUAUUCCAGUACACGAGGGUUGUCUUCUAGUUCCACCAUUAUAUUGUGAAACCAAUUCAUGGGAUUUUUAGAGCCGUAUUUAUCAAUGGCGAGUUCUAAUUUUCACCCAUUGAGAAUAUCCUUCUAAAAAAAUCCCAUAGGAAUGAACAGAACAUGGGUGAGUUGUUUAUUAAAAUCUGAACUCGCCUUUUGAUAAAUCUGCCCCUUAAUGUUGCAGUAGGAACUUCUACAUUCUGUAUCUGUCUUCAUUGGAAGACUUUUUUUUUUUUAUAAACCUCUGUAUAUUUCUGUAAAUGAGUUGUGUACAUUAUAAAGAACUGCAUUUUUUUUAAAAAGCAAUAUGGUGUACAUAUGUGUAAAUAUGUAUUGUACAAAUAAAGACCAAGUUCACUUUUUGUAA